UAAUGUCUUUUCUUUUUGUCUUUCCCUUUUCACUUUCUUAUUUCUUUCUCUUUCUACUUUCUCUUCUCUCUUCUCGUUUCACAUCAAUGUUUAUUUUCUCUUUCUCUUUGAUUUUUUGGUUUAUGAACUAUUAUCAUGUGUUGUUUCAGAUCUUGCAGCAACAUUGCUUGAAUGCAAAGAAAAUGUGCAAUAAAAGGUGCAGAUGAAGUAAUCGAUGAACUAUCUUUAAUUUGAAAGUUAUUCAUAAAUCUUAUUUUAGAUUUGAGUAUUUUGGGAUAUGAGUUGCUUAGAUAAAUUAUUUCUUGCAGACCCUUCAACUUUUUGUAUUUUCUACCACCUAUGUUGUUUCAAAUUACUCUAAAUGUUGAAGGAUGCAAAUGUUAGAGCUCGAAUCUGUAACACAUGUUUCAAAUCUACAAGGUUAGAGUUUGAAUCUUCCAUGCAUGUUUCAGAUCUACAAGAUCUUGCAGCAACAUUGCUUGAAUGCAAAGAAAAUGUGCAAUAAAAGGUGCAGAUGAAGUAAUCGAUGAACACCGGCCCUUCAACUUUUUGUAUUUUCUACCACCUAUGUUGUUUCAAAUUACUCUAAAUGUUAAAGGAUGCAAAUGUUAGAGCUCGAAUCUGUAACACAUGUUUCAGAUCUACAAGGUUAGAGUUUGAAUCUUCCGUGCAUGUUUCAGAUCUACAAGGUUAGAGUUUCAAUCCUUCGUGCGUGUUUUAGUUCUAUGGGUUUAGAUCUCUAAUCCGCUGUGCAUGUUACAGAUCUAUAAGAUUAUAUUUUAAAUAACUUUUUUUAUUCAAGAUUUUAUUUAUUUUUCUUAUUGUUUCUUUCAGGUUCUCUAAUCUUUCACAUCUCCAUGCUCUAAAUGGAAGGUUUAUAUUUUGUUUUUGUUUUUAUUUGUCUUCUUCCUUCUUAUUUUUUGUUACUAACAUUUAAUCUUAUUCUUUUUUAUUUCAUAUUUCAGUUGUUGCUUUAUAGAUCUAUCAUGUUUAACGGAUUGAAGCUGAUAAAUUUGCUAAGUUUAUUUGUUAAUACUUGAUUUUGAAUCAUUUUAUUUAUCUUAAAGCAAAAUUUGAAUAUAAUUAUAAUCAAAUUAAUGUUAUUCUAAUGUGUCAAUAAUAUGUCUCAUUUAACUCUAUUUAAUUUCUAUUUGUUUCAUAAUUUAUUCUAAUUUUUAUUUAUUUAUAAUUUUCAGAUUGGUAAAAUUAUUGAAGGGAAACCAUUAUCAUUUAAAUUUAUUCUAAUCAGUAUUUAAUUUUUCUGAAAGUGAAAUAAGUUUAAAAAAUGGAUAUAAAUCUUUUUAAGUGUAAAAAAAGUUAUAAAAAGAGAUAAUUAAUGUCUUGGUUGUAUCAAAGAAAAUCUAUGGAACAGACUAUCUAAUAGGUCUUAGUAUAGUGUGUUGUUUAUUGCAAGCCAAAGUCACAUCAACUACAUCUAUCUCCAUGUCUUUUUCCUUUUCAUCAUCACAUAGGUCUUUUAAUGUUAUAAAAACUGUCAAAAUAUGUAUAUUUUAUUUGAUGUUACAUAUUCAAAAUAAAUAAUAAUUACAAUAAUAAUUAAUAAUAUUCACAAUAUCAUAAUAUAUCACAAUAUCAUAAUAAAUCAUUACAAUGUUUGACACUAAAACAUAUCUACAUUCAAUAUUAUCAUUUUUAUAUUGCUUUUUUAAAAUAAAAUUAAACGGAGGGAGUAAUAUAUUUAUUGAUUUA